CUCUCUGCCUUAUCCCAGCCCCUUGGUUGACGGUCGCCUCAGAGAAGCCCUGGAUGAGGCUGAAGACACAUCUAACAAGGAGGACACAGCACAGCACAAAUGCACACCGCCACAGGACACAACCCGAUGACAGCAGACAAAGAGAGGCCGUACUCGGUCUUUGCUGGCGCAGGCGAAACAGAGCUGUCUGCAGUGGAAGGAGCAAGCUCAGGGGCUUGUCCACUGGCCCCAGCGGCGGGAGCAGGAGAGCCCAGGGCUGCAAAAACAUCCUUUGCAAGGGUUCCAAAUGGAGAACGUGCAAUGAAAGGAAAGGCACCAGCUGAUGGCACAGGGUGGUGCAGCUGCUGGGUCCCUGGGCUGGAGCAGAGCCCAAACCUCAGCAAGGUGGACAGGUCUGCACUCACGAGAAGGCGGCCUUGCCCUCUUCCAUGUCCUUGCCCUUGGCCCCGGGCCCGGCUUUUCCACACAGGUUGACCGCAAUGCACAUGAACAGGCCACACUUGUUCAGGAAGUAGCAGGUGAUGUCCACAAUCACCAGGAGCAGGACGAAGAUGACGAUGAGGAUGCCCACGAUGGCCCCGGUGCUCAGGCCUGAGGUGGGGCUGCCGUUGGCUUGAGUGGGAGAGAGAUGGCUGGUGGUUAACAGACUGAGAUGCGAGACCUCCAGACCCUGCCAGCAAAAGCCCCUGCGGGUGGGGAGGGCCCAGAGGACAGAGUCAUGGCAUUCAUGCCCAGAGUGACACCUUCCUGGGGACCUUCUAUGCCCCAGAAUUGAGAAAACAGGGUCUUUCUAUACCUUCCAGAGGGAGGGAUGACAACAUCAUCUCACAGAUUGGGGGACAGGGGUGAGCCUGGUCAGCUGGCCUCCCGUGAGUCCUGGGAGCAGACUGAGCCCCGCCUGUCUGAGAACACCGGAUAAUGAGGCAGUUGGAGGGCGCUGCUGUGUUUCCCCUGGACCAGGGCAAAAGGCUUUGCAGCACAGGCAGGCAGUGAUCACUGAUUUCAGGCGGGGCUGUGGCUCCUCAAGUGCUCAGGGAUAGGGGCCCAAAAUGGGGUGGUGGAGGGUUCCUGGGGCUUUCUU
rnacentral:antisense_RNA from 1 species